UUUGCUAUGUAUAAAUUGAUCCCAAUUAGCUCCAAAUGUGCCAAACAGGAUUGUUUGUAUGUUAUGACUAAUUUGACCAUAAAAAAAUACAUUUCCAUAUUUAUAUGAAUGCAAAUUUCCAUUCAAGCACUUUCUUUUUCAAUGUUUCAAAUUUUCAU